GUAAUUUUAAAAUGCCAUCUUUUAAGAAUAUUUACCCAUUUUCAGUGCACAGUCUCACAGUAUACGGGAGUCACAACCAGGAUGGAAGGAUGACCGUGGCUUCCUGACAAAUCAAAGCAAGUCAGCUCCUCCCUCAAGAAUUGUCCCAUCACCUUGCUGGUAGGAGACCUUCUACUAUCAUCAUACCUGCAUCAUUGGCUGAGACUUGUCUGAAAUGCCUUCACUGUUUCUGCAGAGGAAACCUGGAAGAAGGAGAUACAGAUCUUAGCUCUUUUACCUUCUGCUUCAGUUUGUGCCUGACCAUCUGUGAGUAAGGUACUCACGGGUCUCCAUGCUUAAUUAACCCUUUCACCCUUCUUCUGUGUCUUUCCAUUAGCUCCAUCUUUGCUAUGUUGCAAUGAAAGGUACCUCUCUGGGGCAUGGAAAGAUAAAUAUCUGAAUAUCUGCCUAUCAAUGCUCAAACCACCAAAGUCAUUCUAGGCUUGAGCAUUUUUCCAGUUUAUGCAUAACAUUAGGGAAUGGUCUUCAUUUUAAGACAAAGCUGGCAAAGGAAGGGCAUGAUCUCAAGAGCUUUUUAAAUACCACUGUUGACUGAAAGCUAUUAGGUCAUGCUACUGAGUGGCUACCACCACCAUUAACAAGAAAUGGAG
rnacentral:lncRNA from 1 species